GUCUGAGGCCAUAUCACCCUGAACGCGCCCAAUCUCAUCUGGUCUCGAAAAGCUAAGCAGGGUCGGGCCUGGUUAGAACUUGGACAGAUCUUCAGAAGCGACGGCUCAGAGA
ensembl:rRNA 5S_rRNA 5S ribosomal RNA